rnacentral:tRNA from 1 species
GGGAAGGUGGCUCAGUGGUAGAGUGCUUGCCUAGCAUGCAUGAUGCCUGGGGCAUGAGGGGCACAGACCUUCCUG